CUCAUAAGGAUUGCCCUGGCCAAGGUCUUACUAAAUUAAAACACAAAGCAUUCUCUUCAAUUUCUUGGAGUGGUCAAUUCUAUCUUGACUCACGCAUCGACUUCACAAGUACUUGACUAUAUCCAAAAAUCUUCCGAUCCUGAAUUAGAAAUACAGGUAGUCCAACACCAAAGCACAGUGAGUUGCUUGUAAGUCACCGUGGUGAUCUCA
rnacentral:lncRNA from 1 species